rnacentral:lncRNA from 1 species
UCCUGCAAUGAAGCCACACAUCUGAGUUUAGUGGAGGGUCACUACUACAAUGGAGGACAUUUAUAACUCCAUAAUAUUGGCAUAGCAGAUGCGGGGUGAGGACAUGUACAUAAUUAUGACAAUAAUCAGUGGCUUUGUCAGUCACUUGUUCCUGUCUGCUAUUGUUUUCUCACAUUGCCUAACGUUUUUGUUGUUUGCUGUGCUUAUUAUCCCAGGUGUGGCUCUUCCAAGUUAGAUCCUGUUGGAUGUAUGGGUUUGGAUUGUAUCUAGCUUAGACCCUUUGGUAGUAAUUUUGAGGAAGUAAAUGUUAAGGAGUAUUAGUACUGGUCUAGGAGUCCUUAUUAGUCUAUGUUUAGUUUCCUUGCACCUCAAGUCAUGUGUAAUAUAUAUAUGCCCCUUGGGCCUUCAAUAAAGUUAAGUUGCUUUCCUAA